rnacentral:rRNA from 1 species
GAGGAAAGCUGGCGGCGUGCCUAAUACAUGCAAGUCGAGCGAACAGACGAGGAGCUUGCUCCUCUGACGUUAGCGGCGGACGGGUGAGUAACACGUGGAUAACCUACCUAUAAGACUGGGAUAACUUCGGGAAACCGGAGCUAAUACCGGAUAAUAUAUUGAACCGCAUGGUUCAAUAGUGAAAGACGGUUUUGCUGUCACUUAUAGAUGGAUCCGCGCCGCAUUAGCUAGUUGGUAAGGUAACGGCUUACCAAGGCAACGAUGCGUAGCCGACCUGAGGGGGUGAUCGGCCACACUGGAACUGAGACACGGUCCAGACUCCUACGGGAGGCAGCAGUAGGGAAUCUUCCGCAAUGGGCGAAAGCCUGACGGAGCAACGCCGCGUGAGUGAUGAAGGUCUUCGGAUCGUAAAACUCUGUUAUUAGGGAAGAACAAAUGUGUAAGUAACUAUGCACGUCUUGACGGUACCUAAUCAGAAAGCCACGGCUAACUACGUG